rnacentral:tRNA from 1 species
GGGCCCAUAGCUCAGCUGGUUAGAGCACUUGACUCAUAAUCAAGGGGUCGUAGGAUCGUGCCCUACUGGGCCCACAA